GAUUUUUGUUUUGUGGUCCAGGCAUGGGGAGGGCACUCUGCCAUAACACAGAUGUUGGUGAUUCAGUCCUUGAUUGAAGCAGAAAGAGAACCUGGCUGCCUUCAUGCUCUGAUGCCUGAAUGCAAUUCAGUUGCCUAUGUGCUGUGAUAGAGUAAUGCUAUGUUUCAAGAUUCCUUCUUCAAUAUUAAGUUUGUCCCACAGACCAGCACACCUAGCCAGGCGUUUUAAUGCAAUGUUAGUCAUGACUUAGAAAUGUGGGUAAUCUAUGCCACCAUGGUUUGUGAGUAAAGAAAAUGCAAAUAUCAUCCUGUGACUGAGAGGCUGAUUAGAUAUUACAAGUCUACACACAAGACACAUCUUCAGUAAUGUGCCAUUUGAUGAGCGAGGAACUGUAAAGAAAGGCCUCCUGCAGUUGCCGUGUUGCUGUAUUUGUCAUCAGAGCAUAUGAGUAAAAGGAGAUGGACUUCUUGCUGCACACUGGUACCUGAGGAAAAAAAGUUUUGUGACCAGCACAAGCUACAUCUGAGGGCCUGGAAUUUCUCUGGAAGAAAACAAAAAAUGAUGAAUUUAUAGGAGUUUCUGCCAUUAUUGCAGAGGAUUUUGGAAUUUCUGCUAUUCUUGGCUGGAUGGAGAAAGGAAGAGCAAGAAGCAGAGUACCCUGACCUUGGGAAAAGGCUAUAAUCUAGUGUCUUUAUAGAGAUGAGGAAGCUGCUUUGACAAGUAGAAGUUAAACCCUAAAUGGUCCGGGACUAUCUAGCCAUUGCUUAAUCUUCUUAAUAUGGACGCACACUUCAGAGCCCUGCGAGCACUAAGAGGCCUUAAUAGCCAUGAUGGUCCCACCUGGGCACUCCCCGCUCCCUCUGCCUCUCGGCCAGCAGCUGUGUUUGCACCCAGCACCUGCCUGAGGUGUGCCAGACACGCAAUGCUCUUCAGCUCAGCCAGGCCUGGGGCCGGACCAGCACUCACUGCACCGUAGCCCAAGCCUGACCUGCAGGUUGAAUUCCUGUCUUGGCAUUGGACCUGCCUUAUCACCGUGGUAUUGCCUCCUGCACUGGGCUCAUGGCCAGGGCUGGCCACUGCCUCUGGCCUUGCUGUGCUGAGGGAGUGGGUGGCCCUCGCCAUGCCCAAGGUCAGUCAGCUAUUUGUGCCCAGACCCGUGGCACCACCUGCUGCUCUCUAACUGCAAAGGAGAAAAAGGAAAGACACAUUGCUGUUCCUCAGUAUGAAGAUCUAGAAUAAAAAAAACACCACCACCACCACCAACAAAAAACCACAGGAUAGAAGCAUAAAGCAUGUUGGUCAAGCAAUCCUGAGGGGUGGGUGCACAACAUGGAUACGAUUCAGUGUCAGAAAGUUAGAUCCCAUUGCAUUUGCCUAUUCAGAUCCUCCUUCAAGUGUAUGCCAGUGUGAGUGUGGUACAGAGUGAAAAUUGAAGAAGGGAAUGUGCCUCUUUUGCUUUGGUCUCAGCCAGAGCAUGGAGUCAUCUGUGUACAAAUGAAGCAAGGAACACAAGAAAAGGAUGAACUAUGGGAUUCUGUCCAUUGCAAUAUGUGAAGAAAGCUCUGUCCAGGCCCUUCUCCAUCCCUACUGAGGAGAUGAGCUACAAAUGCAUCAUUUCUCAUGUAUCAUUCUGCACUGCUUCAUGCUUCAAAUAAAAUUGGCACAUUAACUUGGAAGAAGAUAGAAAAGGACAGUGGAGGAAUGAAGCUAAGCAGAAUCUGAAAGUUUACAGCACUGAAAUGGGCUAUCUGUACAAGUACCAGAAAAGGGCAUCAGCCAACUGUCAGUUAGAAACAAGGACAGAAAGACUGCAAACUUAAGCACUACCAAUCUCAUUUUUAGUUGGGCAAGUACUUACAUGCAGCUGAAAGUGCUUUUAUGGAGAGAGAUGCUACACAGUUUGUUUUGCAUACUCAUUUGGAGUUCUAAGAGAAACUUUUCAGGACCUGAGGUGAGAAAGUCCUGCUAAGCAAAUAAAACUAUAACAGUGAUCUAACAUAUGCCUUCAGCCAUCUGUGCUUUGCUGGCUUAUAAAAUUUUUAUGAGAGUUUGUUUUGAUGAUGUAAGCAGCAUUUUCUCAUGCUUUCUAUGCAUGAGACUACAGACAAAUGCAAGUAUAUUAUAUUGCCAUUCCAUAAAUGAAAUAUUCUCAAUAAUCCGUUUUCUGUGGGAGACAAUACUAUACUGGCAAUCUGUAUCUUCUCCACUAUUUAUAAAGCUGUAGGCCCAAGCCUUAGGAAAAAAAAAAUAAGACAGAAUAGCUUUCUUAUUCAUAUGGAUUGUCUUUUUCCUCCCCUUUCUUCUGGUAAAGCAAAUAUUACCAAAAAUCAUUGUAUAAUCUGAUGUAAGGAUUCCUCUGUUCAUAUUUAACAAAAGCAGGAAGGGUUCAGAAAGUUCAUCUGACACAGAACAGGAACAAAGUAGUAAUAUAUGAUUAAUGUGAAUUUCUAAACUAAAACUCUCCUGAAAAGAGAGAACAUUUUUCUUUUAAAAAAUGAAGUGGAAGAGGGCUUUAAUAUCAGAUCUGUUUGAUGCUUUAAAUUUGCCAAAUAGAUUUUAAUCUAUUUCCCCUAGCAUAAAUCUGAAGUGAUGAAAUUUUUGUUUUAUUAAACUGGGUGGUAAAGCCACCAUAGCAGGUUUCUCCAUUUCCACACAGUUUCUAGGAGCAAUCAUUAAGAUUGAGCUUAAGUGUCCAUGCUCUUGAGAACCUUUCUGUUAACUGUAAUCUUCCACUUUUCUGACUUAGAAAUUCAGCUGAAAGCUUAUAAACACAAAAAUAGCCCCUAGAGAGCUUUGUCUGAAGUGCUCUCUGGACUACGCAUUUUGCAAAUGUGCAUUACACUUUUGAAGCUGUCUUCUCUUUGUAGGGCUGUUCAGUGUAAGUACUAGGUGUUCAAAGAGCUGGGAAAUCUGCUCACUUUACCCAUCUGUCUUUUACUCUUCUGGUCAGUUCUUCAAUAACAUGGUGAGAAACUAAAUUUAUAAUGCCUUGUUUUCUUUUAUAAAAUUAGAAUGUUUGCUUACUAAAUAAUUUACCUUGCAAAGGUGUUCAAAUUACAAGAUAACUGUCUAUUGAAUUUUUAAUAAGAAUGAUAAAAUUCAGACUAUUUUUGUUUUCAUCAAGCUUGCUGAUGUUAGAGCUUUGCCUGAACCCCUUUUUGCUUAUUUUUAUAUCUUUGCUGGUAGUUUUGAAAAUGCAUUUCUUACAAAGUUGGACUCCCAGUUUUCUGAAAAGGAGAGCAGGAGAAUACAAGCAUAAUGCCAAAUGAGAGGCAAAAUUGUAAUGGAGUCCCUGUAGGAUCUUAAUUUAUCCCCAGAACGGAUUUAGUUUGGGUAAUACAGAAGGAACAGGAAUGAUGAGGAAGAAGAAGAAAAACUGAAAACUGUUCUCAUCUAUAUGUUUUAUUUUCGUAGGUUAAAGUUAGAUGUGCUACCCAGUGAAUGCAGAACAGUUCACCACAUCUUGCUGAUCCUCAUCAUUUAUUCUUCCUUUUUCUUGUCCUAGUAGUUGAUAUCAUUCUGAUCUGGGGGAUGAUGCCAAGGGGAGGGAGGUAGAAAUAAAAACACUACUGUUAAAAUUGUUUUAAAUACUCUGCAGCAGAAGCAUAUAGGCUGGAGAGAGAUUCCAAAUACUGCAAUGCCAGCAAAGUUAAAUAGAGAGUGACUACUGUGUUCAGUUUUGGGCCCCUCGCUACAAGAAGGACAUGGAGGUGCUCGAGCGAGUCCAGAGAAGGGCGACAAAGCUGGUGAUGGGCCUGGAGAACAAGUCCUACGAGGAGCGGCGGAGGGA